AUUGAACGCUGGCGGCAGGCCUAACACAUGCAAGUCGAGCGGAUGAAGGGAGCUUGCUCCUGGAUUCAGCGGCGGACGGGUGAGUAAUGCCUAGGAAUCUGCCUGGUAGUGGGGGAUAACGUCCGGAAACGGGCGCUAAUACCGCAUACGUCCUGAGGGAGAAAGUGGGGGAUCUUCGGACCUCACGCUAUCAGAUGAGCCUAGGUCGGAUUAGCUAGUUGGUGGGGUAAAGGCCUACCAAGGCGACGAUCCGUAACUGGUCUGAGAGGAUGAUCAGUCACACUGGAACUGAGACACGGUCCAGACUCCUACGGGAGGCAGCAGUGGGGAAUAUUGGACAAUGGGCGAAAGCCUGAUCCAGCCAUGCCGCGUGUGUGAAGAAGGUCUUCGGAUUGUAAAGCACUUUAAGUUGGGAGGAAGGGCGGUAAGUUAAUACCUUGCUGUUUUGACGUUACAAACAGAAUAAGCACCGGCUAACUUCGUG
rnacentral:rRNA from 1 species